rnacentral:rRNA from 1 species
UACGUAGGGGGCAAGCGUUGUCCGGAUUUAUUGGGCGUAAAGAGCGUGUAGGCGGUUUGGUAGGUCCGUUGUGAAAACUCGAGGCUCAACCUCGAGACGCCGAUGGAAACCAUCAGACUAGAGUCCGGAAGAGGAGAGUGGAAUUCCUGGUGUAGCGGUGAAAUGCGCAGAUAUCAGGAGGAACACCGGUGGCGAAGGCGGAUCUCUGGGCCAUUACUGACGCUGAGGAGCGAAAGCGUGGGGAGCGAACAGG